rnacentral:rRNA from 1 species
UAGCGGAGGGGACUAGCGUUGUUCGGAAUUACUGGGCGUAAAGCGCACGUAGGCGGAUUUGUAAGUCAGGGGUGAAAUCCCGAGGCUCAACCUCGGAACUGCCUUUGAUACUGCAAAUCUCGAGUCCGGAAGAGGUGAGUGGAAUUCCUAGUGUAGAGGUGAAAUGCGCAGAUAUCAGGAGGAACACCGGUGGCGAAGGCGGGUCUCUGGGCCGAUACUGACGCUGAGGAGCGAAAGCGUGGGGAGCGAACAGG